UGGGGAAUAUUGCACAAUGGGCGCAAGCCUGAUGCAGCCAUGCCGCGUGUGUGAAGAAGGCCUUCGGGUUGUAAAGCACUUUCAGCGAGGAGGAAGGCAGUCGUGUUAAUAGCACGGUUGAUUGACGUUACUCGCAGAAGAAGCACCGGCUAACUCCGUGCCAGCAGCCGCGGUAAUACGGAGGGUGCAAGCGUUAAUCGGAAUUACUGGGCGUAAAGCGCACGCAGGCGGUUUGUUAAGUCAGAUGUGAAAUCCCCGCGCUUAACGUGGGAACUGCAUUUGAAACUGGCAAGCUAGAGUCUUGUAGAGGGGGGUAGAAUUCCAGGUGUAGCGGUGAAAUGCGUAGAGAUCUGGAGGAAUACCGGUGGCGAAGGCGGCCCCCCUGGACAAAGACUGACGCUCAGGUGCGAAAGCGUGGGGAGCAAAACAGGAUUAGAUACCCUGGUAGUCCACGCUGUAAAACGAUGUCGACUUGGAGGUUGUGCCCUUAAGGCGUGGCUUCCGGAGCUAACGCGUUAAGUCGACCGCCUGGGGAGUACGGCCGCAAGGUUAAAAACUCU
rnacentral:rRNA from 1 species